ensembl:lncRNA
AACUAAAAUGUAAACGCAAAACAAUAUAUCUAAUAACUACGAUGGCGUUUUAGUGCCACGUUGAAAUUUGUUUUUUUUCUAAAAUUACGAGAUUAAAGCCCUCAAAACAUUUCGACUUUAUUCUCGUAAUAUUUUGACUUAAUUCUCAAAAUAUUACGAGAAUAAAGUCGAAAUGUUUCGAGAAUGAAGUUUCAAUAUUUUGUGAGUAAAGUCGAAAUAUUUUGUGACUAAAGUCAAAAUAUAACGAGAAAAAAGUCGUAAUAUUUCAUGAAUAAAGUCGUAAUAUUUUGUGAAUAACACUGAAGUAUUACGAGAAUAAAGUCGUAAUAUUUCUUGAAUAAAGUCAAAAUAUUAUGAGAUUAAAGUUGAAAUAUUACGAGAAUACAUUUUCACAUAUAGAAUGUACAUUUCACACAUAAAGGAAACUUGACUUGUUUCACAUAAACAGAGCGAUCUGAUCAUGAAAGAGCUUGAAAAACAUUAUUGUAAGACAUAAUUUGUGUUUCGCUAUAACACUGAUUUUGAAAAGCUGAGACCAUUUCUAUAAAGGAAGCUUGUUAAAUGUACAGAAACCCCUUUUUGGAUUGGUUUUAUUAUGAUGCUUUGAAUGUGAAGUCAAUAUGAAAUCUAAAUCAACCCUGUUUAUGUUCUUCUGCUUCAGUGCUCCUGGUUUUAUUGUGUAUUAUUGAUUCAUCAGUUGAUUCAGUCUGUCAAUCAAUCCCCUCUGAUUUUACAGUCGAUUCCUGAUGGAGAAAUCCAGUCCUGCUCUCUUGUGGUUUGUUAUUUAAUGAACAUACUGGACGUGUGUCACAUUAAAUAUGUCGAACGGGUCAUAAAGCUGUUUUAUGUUGAUCUUUGUGUUUCAGAAGCUGGUUCUCAGGGUUUGUCCUGCAUCACCGGAACGCCUCCUAAACAGGAAACGGCUGUGAGUUACGCGAAACCCAUAAAGAAAGGUAAUCUGAGCCCCAGAAAUGCUUUAUGAUGAUUCAUAUGAUUUGUUUGGUGCUGAAUGUAUUUGUUUGUGGCGGUUUCUCACAGAAUCAUUUCCUGGUCCUGCUCCACCAGCGACGUCUGUCAGAACAACACAGGUCUGAAACAAACAACCAAACACCUCCGGCUCAUAUAUUCUUCUGUGCUAACGUCUGCUGUGUGUUUGUGUGUCCUCUUACAGCGGCAAACUUCCACACCAGGCGGUGUCCAGAUCACCAUGUCAAAUGUCUGUGGAGUUCAGAUCGGCAACAACAACAUCAUGAAUAUUGUUCAGAAACCGGGCCAGAGACACUGAACGGCUCCUUCCAGAGUUGGCUCGUCUUAUUCCCGUUCAGAGAACUCCCCGAAAAAACCCCAGUGACCUCUUCACACUCUCUUAUGCAGGAAUCAGCUCUUGUUCAGUGUUAUAAGUUGCAAACUAUACCUGUGUGCCAAAGGGAAACAGACUUUCAGUGGAGUUGGACACUCAAAAAAUAUCCAUGCCAAUUUGAUGUGUUUGAAUUGCUUAUAAAAUGUCCAUCCAUUUGGAUUACACAGUUUUAACAUUAACUUAUACAUUUAAUGUAAUGCAUGUUUUUUUCAGUCAUACAUUAACAAAGCAGGUCAAAUUAAUAAUAAUGUUUUUGUUACUUGAAAUAAACAUUAUAUAUAUAUAUAUAUAUAUAUAUAUAUAUAUAUAUUAUAGCUUAAACAUUGAGUAAAAAAUAAUUAAAAUACAUAUAAAAAUGUAAAUGUAAAUUAUUCUAGUUCUCAAUUCCAUUUAGUAUAACCUGAUGUAGUUAACACUAAAACUGAGACAUAUAAAUUAGUGACCAAUUCUCAAGACCGCAGACUGAGGAUAACUUCACAACGACUAAUGCACACUCUCUCUCCUCCUCUCGACUCUCAGAGACUGACGUUUCCAAACUUUCCAAACUAACUAUCCUUUCCAAUCAUCAGAAUAACCUCCUGGACAGCAACCAAUCUGGCUUCAAAUGUGGCCAUGCUCUCAGUUACUGAACCCCUACGACUGGCAAGAACAGCUUCAAAAUCCUCAGUACUCAUCUUACUGGACCUGCCCUUACGAAAAAUAACCAUGGUUUUAUUAUAGUAAAACUGUAGUAACCCAUGGUUUUUUGGCGUAUUGACUGCCAUUUGUAAAACCACAGAUUUACUACAAAUACCAUGGUAAAACUAUGGUUAAUAUAGCAAAACCAUGGUUAAUUUGUGGUUACCAUGGUUUAACUACAGUAACCAUGGUUUUUUGGUUUUAUUUGUAGUAAAACCAUGGUUAAUUUUCGUAAGGGUGUCUGCUGCUUUUGACAACGCUAAUCACCAGAUUCUCCUGUCCACCCUCAGAAAGAUGGGCAUCUCUGGAACCACACUCCUGUGGUUUAAGUGCUACCUCUCCGAUAGAUCCUUCAGUGUGUCUUGGAGGGGUGAAGUUUCUAAGUCACAACUACUUGGUACUGGGGUUCCUCAAGGCUCAGUACUUGGACCACUUCUCUUCUCCAUCUACAUGGCAUAAUUAGGAUAUGUCAUUCAGAAGCAUGGCUUUGCCUAUAACUGCUACGCUGAAGACACUUAACUCUACUUCUCAUUCCAACCAGAUGACCCGACGGUAGUUGUUCACAUAGAGUGACAUUUCUAGCUGGAUGAAUGACCAUCACCUUCAGCUCAAGCUUACUAAGACAGAAGUGCGGGCGGUUCCAGCUAACCCAUCGUUUCAUCACAACUUCUCUAUACAGCUGGGUUCAUCAACCAUAACUCCCUCCAGGACAGACAUAAACCUAGGAGUUGUGAUGGAUCAUCAGUUAAGCAGUUAAGCCAAUUAGAAUCUCCCUUGACUUCAGUGAGCCAGACGAACAGGGUAACCACAUCAAACAUUAAACAACGAUCUCACAAACACAAGAUGUGAGACAAGCCAUUAUAUAGUGGAUGAGUAAUGAGUGGCAGCUGUUGCUGAUACAAUUAACGGAGACGCCCACAACUUAUCAGUGCAGAGGCGGGACACACAGAAUUCACCACAAAGUGUAAACAUCUCGAGAUCAUGGUUUACAAAAAUCGGUCAUAUGAAACCUGAUGGUAAAACAAGUAGUAUAUUUGAUGAUAAUGAUGUUUGUAACUAUUGUCAUGAACAGGGUCAUUGGAAGGUGGAUUGUGCUGUAUUAAAGGCUAAAACAAAGGGAAUGAAAACUAAUAUUAGACCUAUAACAUUUGCUGCAAAUGUAAAAACUGACUUGGUUUAUGAGGUAUGUUCACCACUCAUUUGUGAAGUGGAUGUUUUGGCAGCUUAUUCUCCUUUCAUUCGAGAUGGGUCUGUAUCACUGGUAGGCAGUGAUGUGAAAAUCCCAUUAAAGAUCUUGAGGGAUACGGGGGCUUAUAACUACUACACUGUGAGCUCUGCGUUGCCUUUUUCAGGGGACACAGAUACUGG